UAUGGGUUUUGUAAUCAGCGUGAGUCAUUUGACAUGGAGGGCAACGCAAUGACAAUGGUGUAACUGAUAAGGGAUGUUGUGUGAAAGCGCACUCUGGGGCAUGGAUCACCAUGAAGACUUAGCGAGAGAACUCACUCCUCCUCACGCGUCCCUAUCAGAGCCAACAUCAGACCGGGGUAGUUUCUACCCUCAUCUCUCCGAAUGCGCCAACAUCGAGGUUGAUGGCAGGGAAAAUAUGGAAAACCAUACAAUGAAAGAGGCGGUGAAACAGAGAUCGGCUCCUCAAGAAAGGGGACUGGUCCC
ensembl:lncRNA